rnacentral:rRNA from 1 species
UACGUAGGGUGCAGGCGUUAAUCGGAAUUACUGGGCGUAAAGCGUGCGCAGGCGGUUUAUUAAGACAGAUGUGAAAUCCCCGAGCUUAACUUGGGAAUUGCGUUUGUAACUGGCAAGCUAGAGUGUAGCAGAGGGGGGUAGAAUUCCACGUGUAGCAGUGAAAUGCGUAGAUAUGUGGAGGAAUACCGAUGGCGAAGGCAGCCCCCUGGGUUAACACUGACGCUCAUGCACGAAAGCGUGGGGAGCAAACAGGAUUAGAUACCCUGGUAGUCCAGGGCG